AUGGCCAUCACCAUCACCCACAACAACGGUGCCGCUGCACCCACCCAUGCCGCGAACGGAGCGGGCAACCAGGCCGGCCGCGACCACGUAGUCGUGUUCCCGUUCAUGGCGAAGGGCCACACCCUCCCACUGCUCCACUUCACCACGGCGCUCGCCGUGCACCAAAAGAACCUCCGCAUCACCAUGGUCGUCACGCCCGCCAACCUCGCCUUCGCCCGCAGCCGCCUCCCGGCGACGGUGCGCCUCGCGGUGCUCCCGUUCCCCUCGCUGCCGCCGCUGCCAUCCGGCAUCGAGUCCACGGACACCCUGCCCGGCCCGGACCUCUACCCGACGUUCCUGCGCGCCACGGCGCUCCUGCGGGCGCCAUUCGCGGAGUUCAUGGCGUCGCUCCCGGCCCCGCCGCUCGUGCUCGUCUCCGACUCCUUCCUCGGGUUCACGCACCGCGUCGCGGCCGACGCAGGCGUCCGCCGCAUCGUGUUCCAAGGCAUGUCCUGCUUCUCGAUGGCCACCUGCAGAUCGCUCAUCACGAGCCCGCCGCCGUCUGUCGCUGAGCACGGCGCAAGCUUCCACGUCUCCCAUAUGCCGGAACACGUGAGGAUCACGGCAGCUGAUGUCCCGGACACGAUCACCAAGCUCCGCGACGCCGAGGACCCAGUGACUCGGUUCCUUAUCGAUGACAUCGGCGAGUCCGACGCGCGCAGCUGGGGCGUCCUGGUCAACAGCUUCGCCAUGCUGGAAGAGGACUACGUAUCGGCCUUCAUGUCGUUCUACCAGCCGGGCGCGCGCGCCUGGCUGGUGGGCCCUCUGUUUCUCGCCGCCGGCGACGUGCCGGAGCGCGAGGAGGAGCAGGACCCGGAGGGGUGCCUCGCCUGGCUCGACGAGAUGGCGGAGCGGUCGGAGUCGGUGGUCUACGUGUCGUUCGGCACGCAGGCCCAUGUCUCCGACGAGCAGCUCGACGAGCUGGCGCUCGGGCUGGUGCAGUCCGGCCACCCAUUCCUCUGGGCCGUCCGGUCCGGCACGUGGUCGCCGCCGGUGGACGUGGGGCCGCACGGAAGGAUCGUCCGCGGGUGGAUCCCACAGAGGAGCGUGCUAGCUCACCCCGCGGUGGGAGGGUUCGUGAGCCACUGCGGGUGGAACUCGGUGAUGGAGAGCCUGGCAGCGGGGAAGCCCGUCCUGGCGUGGCCACAGAUGGCGGAGCAGCACCUGAACGCGCACCACGUCACGCACAUCAUCGGCGCCGGGGUAAGGAUAAUGGCCGCCGGGGGCGCGGGGGCCGUGGUGGGUAGGGCGGAGGUGGAGCACAAGAUCAGGAGGCUGAUGGACGCCGGCGACUCGGACGGGCAGAAAAUGCGAGCGAAGGCGGUCUGGGCUCAGAAGGCGGCGAAGUCAGCGGUGAGCGACGGUGGCACCUCACCUGUCGCCUUGCUGAAGCUGGUGGAAGAGCUGCAGGGGAGCUACUGUGACGUCAUCGCGGCGGACGAUGAUCAAAUCAAUCGGCCGCGACGGACGAUACGGACGCCCAUGAUUUGUGAAAAAUAA
rnacentral:rRNA from 1 species